UCCUCACAGACUUGAUCGUUGCGCAGAUUUUAGUAGUAUAUAGAUCUCGACAGUGGAGAAAAGGGAAAAAAGAGUCUUUUCGUGGUACCGAAGGACUGGAGAACAGGAUACUACAGAGUUUAUAUACAAGCUGCACGUUAUCCAGAGCCAGCCAACCGGCCAACCGAGUUUCAAACCGGGUAGCGGAACAGAACGGAAACGACUUCCUAGACAAUUGGGCUCCGUCGGGAUCGCUGGAGCAUGUAACGUUCUUCCGGUGCCAUAAUCGACUAAACACAGCUGAGGGCGACAGGUCAAGGAGAGACGACCAUCAACUGGCUCGAUGAAACGACUGUACACUCCUCGAAGUGCACACCACCGAAGCGUAAAAUCGUGAACCGUGAAAACGAUUGACGAGGGCUGGAGCAGGGUGAAGUCGAGAGAGGCUUCGCAGGCCGCAGACGGUUGUCCCGUAUCUGUACUCGAAAGUUUUCAUCAUGCCUGUUCCGACAAAAUUUCAAUUCUCAGGUUUUAGUUGCGACAACCGUUCCAACGUAAUGAAAAACAAAAAGAUGGCGCGCCGAAGGAGGCGAACGAGGGGCGGUAACGGCGUUGCAGCGGACCGUGAAUAAGGGAAUCGAGUAAAAUGAAAUUUGGCGGAAACGGAACUCAGCCGGCGCAGAAAAAGUGGAGACGAAAAGAAGGAGGGGAACCUCGUCAGUCAGUCACUCAGUAUGACUGUCUGCGUCUCUCUGUCUCUGCCUGCCUGUCUCUUCGAGCGCGUUACAAAGAGAUUGUACGCUGUACUCUAGUUGCGGGAUCCUGCAAUGUCGCUAUUACGUGUUCACCGGAUAAAUUGGAUGACAUCAGUUGCUACACACACACACACACACACACACAUAUAUAUAUAUAUGUAUAUGUAUAUAUAUAUACACACAUAUAUACAUAUACAUACGCUCGUAUGCUCGUAUACAACGGCGAACAGAAGCCGAGAACAGUCUUCACCGCGACGCAUCCCACAACACUCGAUUUUUACUCUUACGCCUGAAAUUUGCUUUUGACCUGGUAGCAAGGCUCUUGUUUUUUGAGAAUAUAAUAAAGUUAUUGUGUUCUGACAGCGGCGUCCGUCAACUCUCGAUGGAAUUCAACACCUACCGUACCUUUGUUUCACCCAAUUGUUGUAUCGGAUGAUAGACACAUCGCCGGAGGACGGGGACGCAGAGCGUUGCUGAGAAGGGAUCUUGCUCUUUUUCGCAAGAUAUAAAUUAUCUUAGGCACUUCAUACAUGCGAACCAGCGACCAUUGUGGUGCCCAUGCUGUGACGGUAGCCUUGUUGGAGAAGGCGUGUGAUAUAACGAUAGAUAGAUAGAUGCAUGAUUGAAUAAAAGAACUGGGCUAGUAUAAGGACGAUAUCUACUGCGGGCACGUGCAAUACCACGAAAAUAAACUGUUGGGACUCCAGAUACUAUUUUCUGUAAAUCAGUAGACUAUACAUUCUAUGAAAAUCGGUGUCGUAACGUGAGAAAUUGUACGAUAGUAACACGCGCGAACUAACGAAUAAUGCUUGAAAAUUCGACACUGAAUGGUAACAUGCUUGACUUAGAGUCCCUACAAAACGUAUGUUUUGUAGAUGUUUUAUAGAGAGUUUGACUGGACUGAUUCACAGAAGUCUCUGCAGCUGAAAAUUUCGAAACUUUAAAAAAUAUACUCUGAUCCGUAAUAAAAUCAAUUUAUUGCAACUCACCACUAGCGACCGUGUUUUCCAGCUGUUGAUCCUCGGAUAUUUUAGAGAUUUAUUUUUGGCAUUCCUGAGUGUCAAAUUAGCCAAGCGAGAGUUUAAAAUCGCAGAACAAGUAAAGCUACCCGCUUUGAAUUAUUUCAACUUAUUUUUUUACAGAUAUUCAAAGAUGAACUGCAACCAUCUUCGUCACAUGCUACAUCGACGUAAUUUCACGAGAGGAAGAAAUUGCGCGUAGUCUGAAGUCGCUACAAACAGCCGAUCCGUAAUUACAGCCAAAAAACGGUCAAUUUAUUUAGUAGUUCAUACCUUAUCUGAAUUCCAUGGGGUCUAAAUAAUCUAAAAAGAGUCUAGAAGAGUUAUUGGUUCCAUAAAAAAGGAAGGUUAACCUUUUCAACAAACAUUGAUUAAAGACUCAACACGUGUGCAGUAAUAGCAUUCAUCAAGGCAAGGUACCACACACAUACAAACAAAACACAAUCACACUAAUACACAAAACUGGCAGCAAAGGAGGCGUAACGAAAAGCCCAUCAAAAGUAACCUGGCUAAAAUUCUGGAACAAUAUACGAAAAAAAGACUGCAAGCAUUCACUGACAAACUUAUGUCAGGAAAGCAGUACGAAUUUCGACUGGAAAAAUGUACACAGGAUACGAUUCACCAACUAACGAACGAAAUACACGGAUCAAUAAACAACUAAAAGAAAUCUAUUGCAAUAAUCUUGGACCUUGCAAAGGCGUUUGACACGAGGUUGAAGUUAGUAACGUUAUCGUAACGAAACAUUGGGGGACAAAUCACUAUUUGCUUAAUUUUACAAUGAUUUUUAAGGAACUAAGAUUUCGAAAUGUGAGUGUGUUUUGUUUUAUUACGGUUUACUGAAUUACAGACAAUUCUAAAAUCGCGAAAUAACGGGGUUUCCUCAGCAUGAAAUGUUAAAAUAACGUUACUAACUUCAAUUGAAGUUUAACAGGGUUCCGUACAACCUACUCCUGGAUACAUUCGGAAGAGUAGGUAUCUGAGGCAAAGCGCAGAGCUGAUUCAAUGCAUAAGUCCGAAAGAGACAGCAACGAGCAAAGACGCGUGAAUCCAACUGCCGGCAAAUAGAAGUAACAUGUGGCAUUUCACAAGGAACCAUUCUAUCCGUGUUACUAUUUACAUUAUACUAUGACGAUACGCUAAGAUUCAACAUACAAUCCAGGAUAAUUUCAUACGCAGACAACAGUCUUAACUAUAACGACAAAUUCGUGGGAAGAUGCAUACUUAAAAGUAACCAGAGUGGCGGCAAUUUUUCUGAUUGUGAAAUGAAAAUUCCCCGAAUUUGCUUGUCAAAACAUUCGGAAUUCCCAGCAUGAUCUUUUUCGAUGAAAAUCAAGUAACGUUGAGCAGUUUUCAUUACCAAAAGCUCCAAAAAUUGUGCGUCUUUGAUAUAUAAAUUUGGAUUCAAAAACACAUAGUAUUUCGUUGUUUUACACAAAUAACUAGAAAUUGUACAAUACCAUUUCCGAAAGAUAGCUUAGCUGAAUAUACGAAACAUAGUUGAAGCUACAAAGAUGUUGAAGUUAGAAAACAAUUUGACAAAAAGUAUGUUUUUCCUGUGGUCCAUCAUAAUACCCUGAUUUUUCCCCGACUUUUCCCAAUAAACUCAAUUCCCUGACUAUUCCUGGUUUUCCCGGUCUGCCGCCACCCUAGCAACCCAAGACGACAACAUUAUCUAUCAACAUCCCAAUAUGAUAGAUUUCUCACAUUAAACCCAAAAAGGACAACCUACAUAGGCCGUGUUCGAAAAUUGACUGACAGUACUGUCAGCAAUCUUUUAUCUCUUUUGCCCUUCCAAGUUCGUGAAUAGCUCUGACUCUGUCCUAGGGAAUUUUGAGUACUGUCAGUCAAUUUACGAACACGGCCAUAGCAUUUAUAUCGAAAAAAUGGAAGAACAAGUACAAAAAAAUUCAACUACACACCUGCAACCGGACAGACUACAACCAAUUACGGACAAUGCGUUUCAGUAAAUAGAGUCACAGAACAAAAAUACCUGGGAUAAAAUUUCAAGAAUUUUUAAUGAAAUGAUGAAAUGGAAUACACGAGUAUCACAUACUGUAUAUAAAAAAAACUCGAAAAUCUAUUUCAUCCACUGAUAAAUAUAAGCCAAACCGUAAACAAAACCACAGAAAGAGAAAUCUACCAUGCUGUGGCACAGUCAAUAAUAUAAUACGGCAUCACUGCAUAGGGAACACGUAUAAAAAAACCUAUAUGAACUGGAUCAAGCACGAAAGGUCUGAUCAAGGCCACUCAACUUGGACCGAAGAUAUCCAACGGACAAAGUGUAUAAAGAAAACAAAAUACUGGAAGUACACCAAAAAUAUCUGAAAGAUAUAGCGAUCAAGCUUCAUAAAAAUUCAAAUGAAAUGGAAGAAAGAACAAGACAUGAAUAUCAACAAAGAACCAUGACAGCUGGAGCUCUACAUAUCGAUCGAGCGGUAUGGUGAACAUCAAGGAAAAAUCAUUGCAAGUAAAAUAUACAUAUAAUCUAUAACUAUCCCAACCUUCCCCUCUGCACGGAAAUUCCACAAUUUAUGUAGGGCCAUUCCAUGACAACGAGGAAAGAGACAAGAGAAAAAAAAUAUUCCGCAAUGAAUAAAAUAAAAACAUGAAGACCACACAAUAUCAUACAAUGUUGAACACUCACUUGUGAUUAUGAUUACAACACAUAUCAUAAUAACAUUAUACACUGAUGACAACUGAAUACUUUUAAUAGAAUAAGGAAUGUUGAAUAAACUAAACUAAAGUAAACUAACUAAUUUUUUGAAUUUUCUGUUAAGGACAACUGGAACUUUAAAUAUCACAUCGAACAGUAAAAAACACAUUUGACACUAUUAUGGAUAAGCCGUGAUUUUGUAAUAUUAUGCAAUAAAAUAUUUUCGAAAGAUAGUUUAAAUACUAUAUUGUUGACCACAAAAA
rnacentral:lncRNA from 1 species